CUAGUACUCCCUCCGUCCGGUAUAUAAAAGAGGAUGUAUCUAGACGUAUUUUAGUUCUAGAUACAUCUGUUUUUAUCCAUUUUGAUGACAAGUAUUUUCGGACGGAGGGAGUACAAA
rfam:Triticum aestivum genome assembly, contig: Triticum_aestivum_CS42_TGACv1_scaffold_080667_1DS